rnacentral:rRNA from 1 species
AGUGAACGCUGGCGGUAGGCCUAACACAUGCAAGUCGAACGGCAGCACAGUAAGAGCUUGCUCUUACGGGUGGCGAGUGGCGGACGGGUGAGGAAUACAUCGGAAUCUACUUUUUCGUGGGGGAUAACGUAGGGAAACUUACGCUAAUACCGCAUACGACCUACGGGUGAAAGCAGGGGAUCUUCGGACCUUGCGCGAUUGAAUGAGCCGAUGUCGGAUUAGCUAGUUGGCGGGGUAAAGGCCCACCAAGGCGACGAUCCGUAGCUGGUCUGAGAGGAUGAUCAGCCACACUGGAACGGAGACACGGUCCAGACUCCUACGGGAGGCAGCAGUGGGGAAUAUUGGACAAUGGGCGCAAGCCUGAUCCAGCCAUAGCGCGUGGGUGAAGAAGGCCUUCGGGUUGUAAAGCCCUUUUGUUGGGAAAGAAAAGCAGCAGGUUAAUACCCCGCUGUUCUGACGGUACCCAAAGAAUAAGCACCGGCGAACUUCGU